UACGUAGGUCCCGAGCGUUGUCCGGAUUUAUUGGGCGUAAAGCGAGCGCAGGUGGUUUAUUAAGUCUGGUGUAAAAGGCAGUGACUCAACCAUUGUAUGCAUUGGAAACUGGUAGACUUGAGUGCAGGAGAGGAGAGUGGAAUUCCAUGUGUAGCGGUGAAAUGCGUAGAUAUAUGGAGGAACACCGGUGGCGAAAGCGGCUCUCUGGCCUGUAACUGACACUGAGGCUCGAAAGCGUGGGGAGCAAGCAGG
rnacentral:rRNA from 1 species